CCUACGGGUGGCAGCAGUGAGGAAUAUUGGUCAAUGGGCGUAAGCCUGAACCAGCCAAGUCGCGUGAGGGAUGAAGGUUCUAUGGAUCGUAAACCUCUUUUAUAAGGGAAUAAAGUGUGGGACGUGUCCUAUUUUGUAUGUACCUUAUGAAUAAGGAUCGGCUAACUCCGUGCCAGCAGCCGCGGUAAUACGGAGGAUCCGAGCGUUAUCCGGAUUUAUUGGGUUUAAAGGGUGCGUAGGCGGGUUAUUAAGUCAGCGGUGAAAGUCUGUGGCUCAACCAUAAAAUUGCAGUUGAAACUGGGGGUCUUGAGUAUGUUUGAGGCAGGCGGAAGGCGUGGUGUAGCGGUGAAAUGCUUAGAUAUCACGCAGAACCCCGAUUGCGAAGGCAGCUUGCCAAGCCAUGACUGACGCUGAUGCACGAAAGCGUGGGGAUCAAACAGGAUUAGAUACCCGAGUAGUC
rnacentral:rRNA from 1 species